UUAGUUGAGGUUAGUUCCGGGAGCCUGGAAGGCUGGGUUCGGUACGGUGUAAGUUGUUAGUGGUCCUAUAAACCCCAACAACAACAACAACAACACUGCUGAGCUCAUCUAUACUCAUUCUCUUCCCAGAAGAGCCAUACUGUGUGACAGCCUGGAGAAGCAGAAACCUUAAUUCAAUCUUUCUCCAGAAGAAUUUUAACAUCAAGUUUCAACCAUUCAUCAUCUACCAUUCAUCUACAAGUUUCAACCCGUGUGUCAGCUGCAGUUAUGCUGGAGAUGUUGUGUCAGCAGUCAGUGUUGUGAAGGUCAAUAUGGUGUCAUAGAUGUUCUCAAUACUCUAGCUAUUACAUCCAAGUCUUCAGCUGCCUCUGGCUGUAAUUUCCCUCAUUACAAUAUCUGUAAUACUUAAAUAUGUUUCAGUAUCACCUUCAUGUUUGACAAAUUAUGUACCGUUACAUGUAAGAGUAUUCAUUCAUUCCUAUGUAAUAAUAGUAGAACCAAUAUUAUUCAAAAAAUAAAACAUUGAUGACUUGACUACUAACAGUAUAUUCAUGUAAAUGUUGAUGAAAAUGAAUGUUUGUAACCAAUUAUUGUAAUGAAUAAUUUAAAGACUUGUAUCCUUGGUGGACUUAAUUAUAAUUUGCACUCAUGUAAACUGUGUACAGUACUCAGUUUAAAAUGCUUCUUCUGUGUUAUCAUAACUAAUCUAUGCCGUUAUAACUCAUCUGUGUUGUUAUAACUCUUCUGUAUUAUUAUAAUUCAUCUGUGUUGUUAUAACUCAUCUAUGUUGUUAUAGCUCAUCAAUAUUGUCAUAACUAAUCUAUGCUGUUAUAACUCAUCUGUGUUGUUGUAACUCAUCUAUGCUGUUAUAACUCAUCUGUGUUGUUGUAACUCAUCUAUGUUGUUAUAACUCAUCUAUGCUGUUAUAACUCAUCUGUGUUGUUGUAACUCAUCUAUGUUGUUA